ACUCCACAUACGCAUCCUUUGCUGAGGAUACGGUUAACGGAGCGAAAGCGACGUUCAACCGCAAAAGAAGCAGAGGGGGCUUAGUGGUGGGGUGACUGCGUACCUUUUGUAUAAUGGGUCAGCGACUUAUAUUCUGUAGCAAGGUUAACCGUAUAGGGGAGCCGGAGGGAAACCGAGUCUUAAUUGGGCGUUAAGUUGCAGGGUAUAGACCCGAAACCCGGUGAUCUAGCCAUGGGCAGGUUGAAGGUUGGGUAACACUAACUGGAGGACCGAACCGACUAAUGUUGAAAAAUUAGCGGAUGACCUGUGGCUGGGGGUGAAAGGCCAAUCAAACCGGGAGAUAGCUGGUUCUCCCCGAAAGCUAUUUAGGUAGCGCCUCGUGAAUUCAUCUCCGGGGGUAGAGCACUGUUUCGGCUAGGGGGCCAUCCCGGCUUACCAACCCGAUGCAAACUGCGAAUACCGGAGAAUGUUAUCACGGGAGACACACGGCGGGUGCUAACGUCCGUCGUGAAGAGGGAAACAACCCAGACCGCCAGCUAAGGUCCCAAAGUCAUGGUUAAGUGGGAAACGAUGUGGGAAGGCCCAGACAGCCAGGAUGUUGGCUUAGAAGCAGCCAUCAUUUAAAGAAAGCGUAAUAGCUCACUGGUCGAGUCGGCCUGCGCGGAAGAUGUAACGGGGCUAAACCAUG
rnacentral:rRNA from 2 species